CAGUAGCCACGGUAAUACGUAGGGUGCGAGCGUUAAUCGGAAUUACUGGGCGUAAAGCGAGCGCAGACGGUUAUUUAAGCAGGAUGUGAAAUCCCCGGGCUUAACCUGGGAACUGCGUUCUGAACUGGAUAGCUAGAGUGUGUCAGAGGGGGGUAGAAUUCCACGUGUAGCAGUGAAAUGCGUAGAGAUGUGGAGGAAUACCGAUGGCGAAGGCAGCCCCCUGGGAUAACACUGACGUUCAUGCUCGAAAGCGUGGGUAGCAAACAGGAUUAGAUACCCCAGUAGUCCCUGUCUCUUAUAC
rnacentral:rRNA from 1 species